GGGCGGGGGGAAGGCCGCAAUUCUGCAAAUCCGAAAGGGUAGGGAGUGGGAGAGUCCUGAAAGGAUGAGGCCGAAGGAGGAGCACUCCCCCGGGCUAUCAGGCAGCUCCCUCCAAGGCCUCCCUUGCAAUCGCGACUCGCAAACCGAAUCAUCUCAAACUUGCCCCCGCCCUACCUAGCUGCCCGCCCUGGGCCGCCCGGCCACCCGCGCAUGCGCGGAGCUGGCGCCGCCACCAAACAUCUUCUAGACGCUCAUCAGUGGCGUCCCGAUCCUGUCCUUUUAUCUCCGGUUGUGCCUCGUGCUGCAUCCAAAGCAGUUUCGGAAUCUGUAGGCUGCUGGAGGACGAUGGGGUUGGAAAGAAACGAGUUUUCAGGUGGCAGUGACCGAUGUUUAGUCUCACUUAUUUUCUCUGAUGACUCAACACAGUAAAUAAGACGGUCUGUUUGGAAAAGCCCUGCAGUAAAUCAUCCUGAAAAAAGAGAAGGAAAUUUCCUGGCAAAGAAAUGGAACCUGUCCUCCAUCCCAGAAAUCACGGCCAGGAAUAUGAAUUUUUAACAAGUGUCAAAAAAGCACACUGGAUCAGGAGAGAAGAAUGCACACACGUCACUUCUGUUGUAAGAAAUGCUUGAUUUCUUUUAAUCCCCAGAGUCUAAUUAUUUUCUUUCCGAGCUUAAGGGCACUGUCUACCCUCUGAUUCUGUUGUUACACUUACAAAUGAAUCUGAGCUGAUGGUAUUAUUUGCCUACUAAUUUGGGUACUUAAAAAAUAUCUGUCUUUAAUAAUUCUCUUUCCUUCCCUUUCGUCUACC
rnacentral:lncRNA from 1 species